CCCUUAGAUGUUCUGGGCCGCACGCGCGCUACACUGACGGAUUCAACGAGCUUACAACCUUGGCCGAAAGGUCUGGGUAAUCUCCAAAAUCCGUCGUGAUGGGGAUAGAUUAUUGCAAUUAUUAAUCUUCAACGAGGAAUGCCUAGUAAGCGCAAGUCAUCAGCUUGCGUUGAUUACGUCCCUGCCCUUUGUACACACCGCCCGUCGCUCCUACCGAUUGAGUGGUCCGGUGAAGCGUUUGGACUAUGGUUUUCUGAUGGUCCGCCGUUGGAUUACCGUGGGAAGUUCGUUAAACCUUAUCAUUUAGAGGAAGGAGAAGUCGUAACA
rnacentral:rRNA from 1 species